rfam:Triticum aestivum genome assembly, contig: Triticum_aestivum_CS42_TGACv1_scaffold_195575_3AL
CAUAUACUCCCUCCGUUCCGAAUUACUUGUCGCACGUAUGUAUGUAUCUAGAUGUAUUUUUGUUCUAGAUACGUCCAUUUCGGCGACGAGUAAUUUGAAACAGAGGAAGUAUAUA